rnacentral:ncRNA from 2 species
UAUAAUCAUUUCGCUUCAGGUGCCCCCUUGGGCUUAAUAGGGAAGCCGGUGCAAAUCCGGCACGGUCCCGCCGCUGUAACCGGGGACGAAACCUGCAAUUGCCACUGUUUACCUGAAGGGAAUGGGAAGGCGCAGGGACUAGGAUGAUCCGGGAGUCAGAAGACCUGCCUGUAACGAAAGUGCCGU